ensembl:lncRNA
CUGUCACAGUGAGAAGCUGGGCGUGAAAGUGUUUAUCUGGGGCUUUGGGAUUAUCAAUGAGCAAAUUACCUCUUAUCCAGUAGAGGGUCUCAGGCAGACUGUGUGCGUCUGCCAGGGACUGAAGACUCCCUCUCUAGGGCUUAGGAAGGAUGGGAGAAAUGAGGGACAAAUGACUGCACUUUAUUUUGAUGUAGUCUAUUCUUAAUGGCUCAUUAUUGAUACUUCUUUUUGAUAUGAGGCCCCUCCUCUUUUCCUUUGGAGUAUCAGUGUGAGUGUGUUUUGUUUGAGAGUGGUGGCUCAUGCUGAAAGAGGCAGAGAGCUCUUCUCCCAGGAGGAUUCGUCUCACUACCAGCCCUUCAUUGCUCUGCCUGGGUGACUUUUCCUGCAGCUGCACCCAUGACUCUCCAGAACUGCCUGCUGCACAGAUAUGGACUGUAUUACUUCUUGGCAUUGCUGACACUUCUCAUGUCACAUGCUGACGGGCUGCAAUGUUAUGCCUGUAACAUCGUGCAUAACCAGCGGUAUGUGGACGUAGGCUGUUCCAACCCCGAAGUCAUCACCUGCUCCCACUCCCACAAGGGCUUCAAGCAUCGCUUCUGCAUCAGAACCGAAAGUGUUGCAUUGGGAGUCAUGCUGACUAGUGGCUGCGCGACAGCACGACACUGCCACACGCAGGAGCUGCCGGGAGUCAACAUCCACUGCUGCAACUCUGAUCUGUGCAACAGCGCCACCCGCUGGCGGACGACCACCCUGCUGCCUAUUUGCUCAUUGACGUUUUCUCUAUUGUUUCAAGGGCUGAUACUGUGGACGAAGUAACUUUGAAAUUUGAACGUCACGACAAAAACACGGCAGCUACGCUUCCGACGCAUGACAUACAGGAUGAAACUUGAAAAUAUAACUAUAAAAGAUGUGAGCGCAGACCCUGGAGUAUUAGGCCUAGGUCUAUGUGUGGAUAAACCAAUUCUUCACGUAGCCUAGUAUUGUUCUCUUUGGAUAAUUAGGCAAGGCAAGUUUAUUUAUAUAGCAUUUAUAUAGUUUAUAAUUAGCUAAAUCAUUCCCCCCAAAAAAAGGACUUUUAUAUGGACAACAAGAAUUUUUUUUUUUUUUGUAACUAUUUGUUUUAUUUUGAAGCAUUUUGCUCAGCCAAAAAUGAGAAAUGAUGCUCUUUACACUAUGUGUGAAAAAAAUGUGUUCAGGAAUUGUAUCCUAUUUAAGGCCCAAAUGUUCUCAAAAAAGUGGUAAUGGAAAUUAUACUGACCUUUUUAUUGUUGUGAGUAUUAUUAUUUAGAUAUUUUCAUACAUAUUUUUGUAAUUUCUUUUAACCAACUGAUCUCAAGCUGAUUUUAAGUGCAUGUGCUUAUGAAGUCUGUCACUCAAGUUCAAACGUCCUAGCAAGAGUAAUCACAGGUUUAGAUUAGCACAUUAUUUUUGAACAUAAUGCACGUUUGACAAUCAAGAAAGUGUUGAAAUACUUAUUGUAUUAGUUUUAAUAUUCAUAUAGGCCUAGGCUAAGGCCUCUAAUGUGCCCCACUACAAGAGUUUUUGUUUAAAAAUGCAUACAAUUUUUCAUUACUGAACAAGUACAUUAAAAUGUUGUUGUCUUACCUCAAAUCCUUCUUUUUUUUUUUUUUUUUUUUUUUUUUUUGAUGAAUAGACUUGCUACAUCAUAUCCAUAAAGGUCUGGUUAUUGAGUGAGUGGGUGCUUAGUUUGUAACUGAAAUCUUCAGCUAGCAUUUACAUUGGCAGUUCAAAACAACAAAUCCUUCUUAACCACUGACGAACAACCAGUUGUCAAACAAAUUCCAGAAACUUCAAACUCCAAAAAGUCUGCAAUCAAGAAAGGGAAUGUAGAUCCAGUGCCAAACAGGAUCUGAAACACAGAGGCAGAUAUUAAACUUUAUUUAUGAUUUGAAGUUCUUUCGUCAGCUGUGUUUCAGCACAGCACAUCUGAUGGUAGAACUUCAAAUCGUAUACAGUAUAAAGUUUAAUAUCUGCCUUGGUGUUUCCAUGCAUCUGUGUAAGAUGCUAUUCCUCAAGAAUUAGCAAUUUUAUGUUUCAAAAAGAGAUGCAGAUAGAGAGGUUCUAAAUAGAGCUCAGAGCUCCAGGAGAUGGCAGUGUUUCACAAUCUCUUGACACAGGCAUAAAUGUUCGACCUGACAGAAUCUCUGACACAGCAGAGAUCUUGCAGUGCUCAGUCCACUGUGUUCAUUGUAAUUAGAGCCAUGAAACAUGCCUGACUAGUGCAGUAUUUUAUUAGGAUUCAUUCUUUGCUAGAAAUCAUGUUUAUAAUAUGUACAGCAAUACUUCAUGUGGGUCCUUUGAAGAGGCGACGGAUUCAGAGAACCUUUUAAGAGCAAUGGCCUGUCUUAUGGUGAAAGCUCUUAUGAAAAUAAACGGGAAGAGAUCCGCA